rnacentral:miRNA from 12 species
GGGACAUGGCCAGUGGACAUGGUGGGGAUGGGUUGGGGUUGGCCUUGGGGACCUUAGUGGUCUUUUCCAACCUGAAUGAUUCUAUAAUUCU